CGGACGGGUGAGUAAUGUCUGGGAAACUGUCUGAUGGAGGGGGAUAACUACUGGAAACGGUAGCUAAUACCGCAUAACGUCGCAAGACCAAAGAGGGGGACCUUCGGACCUCUUGCCAUCGGAUGUGCCCAGAUGGGAUUAGCUAGUAGGUGGGGUAACGGCUCACCUAGGCGACGAUCCCUAGCUGGUCUGAGAGGAUGAUCAGCCACACUGGAACUGAGACACGGUCCAG
rnacentral:rRNA from 1 species